AGAGCCCUCUCAUCAGUCAGGCAGGGUUUUUAUUACGAGCCAGCGUUCUCAGCUGUCAGCACAACCCCGCUCUACAGAGACAACUCCGUGACAGAGGGAGCCUCCAACACUGUCCUUCCCACAAGACAGCCCAUCACAUUCUCUGAGCCAGACUGGGGCUGAGGGAGAAAGGAGUACUUCUUGAGGCUGAAGUUUAGUGAAGACAAGAAAGUGAUAUAUGAUAUCCAACCGAGGCUUAUGUCCAACAUGAAGAGAGUCAUGACCUGUGGAAACAGGAAUGGAGCUACAGACUCCACACCAGGUUUAUUUCCAAGUAGUGCCAAACCAACAGCUGAUAAGUAAAAAGAAACUACCGCUGUAUACGAGGCUUACCGGUUUAUCAACUACUUGAUCCGUACUUAUUGAUUUUGCUGUUUUGGGGA